rnacentral:rRNA from 1 species
UACGUAGGGGGCAAGCGUUGUCCGGAAUCAUUGGGCGUAAAGAGCGUGUAGGCGGCUCGAUAAGUCUGCUGUGAAAGUCCAGGGCUCAACCCUGGAAGGCCGGUGGAAACUGUCGGGCUAGAGUCCGGAAGAGGCGAGUGGAAUUCCCGGUGUAGCGGUGAAAUGCGCAGAUAUCGGGAGGAACACCUAUUGCGAAGGCAGCUCGCUGGGACGUAACUGACGCUGAGACGCGAAAGCGUGGGGAGCGAACAGG